rnacentral:rRNA from 1 species
CUACGGGGGGCACCAGUGGGGAAUAUUGGACAAUGGGCGCAAGCCUGAUCCAGCAAUACCGCGUGUGUGAAGAAGGCCUGCGGGUUGUAAAGCACUUUCAAUUGUGAAGAAAAGCGAGAGGUUAAUAGCCUUUUGUCUUGACGUUAACUUUAGAAGAAGCACCGGCUAACUCUGUGCCAGCAGCCGCGGUAAUACAGAGGGUGCGAGCGUUAAUCGGAAUUACUGGGCGUAAAGCGUGCGUAGGCGGUUUAGUAAGUCAGAUGUGAAAGCCCUGGGCUCAACCUGGGAACUGCAUUUGAAACUGCUGAACUAGAGUGUGGUAGAGGGAAGUGGAAUUCCGGGUGUAGCGGUGAAAUGCGUAGAUAUCCGGAGGAACACCAGUGGCGAAGGCGACUUCCUGGACCAACACUGACGCUUAGGUACGAAAGCGUGGGUAGCAAACAGGAUUAGAUACCCCUGUAGUC